GUGUUUGAUAACUUUCUUUCAGGGACCACUAAAGGAACAGAUGUGAAGUCACCAGUUACUAGUGAAAGAGAUGCUAUAAAAGAAAAAGUGAAGCUACCAGUUGUUGCCAAAGAAAAAGCACCCAAAACAAAGGAAGCAAAGCCUGCAGUUGCCCAGAAACAAAAAG